rnacentral:rRNA from 1 species
GAUGAACGCUGGCGGCGUGCCUAAUACAUGCAAGUCGAGCGAACAGACGAGGAGCUUGCUCCUCUGACGUUAGCGGCGGACGGGUGAGUAACACGUGGAUAACCUACCUAUAAGACUGGGAUAACUUCGGGAAACCGGAGCUAAUACCGGAUAAUAUAUUGAACCGCAUGGUUCAAUAGUGAAAGACGGUUUUGCUGUCACUUAUAGAUGGAUCCGCGCCGCAUUAGCUAGUUGGUAAGGUAACGGCUUACCAAGGCGACGAUGCGUAGCCGACCUGAGAGGAUGAUCGGCCACACUGGAACUGAGACACGGUCCAGACUCCUACGGGAGGCAGCAGUAGGGAAUCUUCCGCAAUGGGCGAAAGCCUGAUGGAGCAACGCCGCGUGAGUGAUGAAGGUCUUCGGAUCGUAAAACUCUGUUAUUAGGGAAGAACAAAUGUGUAAGUAACUCUGCACGUCUUGACGGUACCUGAUGAGAAAGCCACGGCUAACUACGUG